rnacentral:rRNA from 1 species
CGGGUGAGUAACACGUAUCCAACCUGCCGUCUACUCUUGGACAGCCUUCUGAAAGGAAGAUUAAUACAAGAUGGCAUCAUGAGUCCGCAUGUUCACAUGAUUAAAGGUAUUCCGGUAGACGAUGGGCAUGCGUUCCAUUAGAUAGUAGGCGGGGUAACGGCCCACCUAGUCUUCGAUGGAUAGGGGUUCUGAGAGGAAGGUCCCCCACAUUGGAACUGAGACACGGUCCAA